UAAAAAUUAGUUAAUUUUAUAACGUUAGCUUGUCAAGCUAAAAUAAUCUUAUUGAUAUUUUUAC
rnacentral:tRNA from 1 species